CCCACACCUCCCAGACUCCCCAGACCUCCCAUCCUCACCCCCCACCCGCGGUUCUGCAGUCGCCCUGGCCGGUUCUCUGCGCUGCAUCGCGGACGAAUCCGGGAACCCAGGCCGAGGGGCUGAAAGUGGGAAGCCACUAACCUCAAAGGAGCAGCACUAAGCCAAUUCAAGAUUUCUAUCCAAACUGGACAAAAGAAUCUUUAUCUACAUUGUAACAAAGG
rnacentral:lncRNA from 1 species